AAGGUUUUGAAAAAGAAAAGAAAAGAAAAAAAAAGAGAGAUGGCUUAUCUACUCUUGGCUGGGCCACAAGCCGAGGACCAGUUCCCUCUCCCCCCUCUCCCUCUCGCCUUGGCCCAGGGGCGCGGCCCAAUUUCCUCCCCCCGCGGCCCAACCGCGCGCCUUCGCCCUCUCGCUUGCCUGUUUGACGGCCGGGACCCAGUGUCUCUCUGGCCGACAGCACGGGCCCGUGCGCCACCGACUCGCCCGGC
rnacentral:lncRNA from 1 species